AGCCACCUUCAUUAAUGAUCUUAACUAGAUCUUCUGGAUAACUUGCUGUAGCUUCUAUGUCAUCACUUGCUGCUUCAUCUUGAACUUUUAUUUUGCUGAGAUGAUUCUUUCUUUCAACUUUAUGAAUCAACUUCUGUUAGCUUUGAACUUUUCUUUUGCAGCUUUCCUUGCCUUUCUCAGCUUUCAUAGAAUUGACGAGAGUUAGGGCCUUGCUCUGGUUUAGGCUUUGGCUUAAGGGAACGUUGUGGCUGGUUUGAUCUUCUAUCCAGACCACUAAAACUUUUUCCAAAUCAGCAAUAAUGCUGUUUGGCUUUCUUAUCACUCAUGUGUUCACUGAAAGAGCGCUUUUCAUUUCCUUCAAGAACUUUUCCUUUGCAGUCACAACUUGGCUGCUUGGCACAAAGAGCUCUUGGCCUGUCUUGGCUUUUGACAUGCCUUUCUUGCAAAGCUUAAUCAUUUCUAACUUUUGAUUUAAAGUGAGAGAUAUAUAUACUCGUCCUUUCACUUGAACACCUAGAGGCCAUUUUAAGGUAAUUAACUGCCCUGAUUUCAACACCAUUGUGUCUCAGGCAAGAGGGAAGCCCAAGGAGAGAGAGAGAGAGAGAAAGACAUCAGAACAGCAAGUCAGUGGAGCAUUCAGAAUACACACAACAUUUAUUAAGUUUAUGGUCUUAUAUGGGCAUGGUUUGUGGCACCUCAAAACAAUUAAAAUAGUAACAUCAAAUAUCACUAAUCACCAAUCACUGUAACAGCCAAAAAUACCCUAGUACUUUGGUUUGUGUGUCUGUUUGAAUAAUAUGAAAAUAAAUUUUGUGUAUAACUAUAUCUCAGUAUGAAUUAGCACUCAACUAAUGAUAAAUGAUGAGUAAAAUGAUGCAUUUUGUAUAAUUUUAAUUAUUUCCAUAGUAAUAAGAAAUGAUAAACUUGCUACUUAAAAUUUUCAGUCAUGUUUGGGUCAUCUAAGUCACAAAGGAGCAAUGAUUAACAAAGACUGAUUUUUACUAUGCUAUUGCAUAAUAUAUGCCAAGAUGCUGACUACUUAAAGAAACCUUAUUAUAAGCAAAUAAACUCUCAGGAAAUCAGUCUUCUUGAAAGUUUCUUUUUCUUUCCAUAGAAGCUGCAUUACCUUUGCAUUUUCUUCUUGAAAAAUGAUGUUUUAUCUAAAAUGUGAAAUAAUUUUAUUUUAAAAUAUCACGGAUAACAGUGAUUAGCACUUAAUUACAUAAUCUCCUAUUCUUAAGUCAUUUUAAAUGUAGAUCUUAUCUUCUUGAAGUUGUUUUAUAUUUAUCAGGAAGAUAGACUUUUCAAAUCAACACACAUAUAUCGACUUACUCCUUUCAUAUAACUAAAAAAUAUUUGCUUUGUCUAACCAUAAUUUGACAAUAUUUUACAUGAGAAAUUUAAUUAAACUUGUGAAAAUAGAAGCUAAUAUUUAUGCCCUAUAUUUCUGUAUAUAUGUUUUCAUUCUUAUGAAUGUUUAGCAAAAUGUGGAAAGAUACAUACUAUACUAAUUAUAUGAAGCCUGAAGAUGGAGGUAAUGUUAUGAAUUAGGCAGAUUACAUUAUUCUGGGGCAGCAAGUGAUCCCCAAAUCUCAGGGCUUUAAAACAGAGACUUAUUUUUCAUUCCUGCUGCUCUCCCAUUCAUCAUGAUAGGCUGGAUUAUGGAGAGCCACCAUCUCAUACACUGCCAGUAGCUGAGCCAGAAGGAAAGAGAAGUUACAUUCUUACUUAAGAAGAAUGUAACUCUGGCCGGGAAGUAACACCUUCACUUACAACUCACAGGUUGGAGUUUCCAACCACCAAAUGGCCAGCAAAUGAAAUCCUACCCCAUUCCUGGAAGGCACAGAGCCAGAAAUAAUUGUUCACCAACACUAGAACUACCAUAGGUGGGGUGCAAUUGCUAAUGUGUUCUUCAUUCUUGGUAUUGCUUAUGUUUUUCAUUUAGAGUAAAGAAGCCAUCCUGACAAUAUUUAUAAUCUAGAGGCAGUUCUUUCAUCAUCAUCCUUUCCUCUUCAUCACUGUUGCUUUAAUUAUAUAAAAAGAGAGGCAGAAAUGUAUAAAGGAAACCCAGGCUUCAUUGAGCACUUCUCUAGUCUCAGACUUUGUUAGGAAAUUGUUGUGAUGCAAAAUGUAUGAAAAGAUCCCAUCUCAACUGACUUGGAUUCCAGCAGAGAAAGCAAGUGAUGUAAGAAUAUAACAUUAUAAAUGGCACACAGGCUGGAAGCCUGGCUAGAAGAGGCAUGUUGAAGAAAGUGUAGGAUUUUAUUAUCACCUCAGAUCCUGGUCCACUUUUUUCCUACGAGUAUUUUUUAGCAAAAACCAGAAAUGACAUAGCCUUGUUCUGAUGGAAAAAGGUGGUGUAAGUAGAUCAGUUUAAGUGGAGGACUCAGAAAAUCUAUUAAUGAUGAAAAAAUUUAGAAAGAUUGGGGGCAACCAAAAUUUAAAAACUUAAGAAUGUGGGCUUCAUAAGUGUAGUGAGUAUAAAGGAAAAGUUAACAGGCAUAUGAAAUGAAGACUAAGAUAUUUUGUUGAUAUGAGACUACAGUCCCUGAAUAUGAAUAUAGUUAAUAAGAACUGAGCAUUGCAUCACUUUCUCUCCCUAAACUGCAAUUCCAAGCUAUGAUUUCAUAGUCCCAGUGAUACAGGAGAUCAAGACUAAGUUAAUACAGCAAGACAUUUUCUUUCUACUUAUCUUUCAAAUCAACAUGGUGUUUUGUGUGAAGUGAGGUGAGUUCAAUUCAUUGCUAGAGAGGCUCCAUAUCACUACCCAUUUUCUGUCAUGAUUUACAAUUUCACUGUCAUUUCAUUAUUGCAGAGUGAAACAGUGAGGUGUGUUUUUGUUUUUUUUUUUAACCUGUUGAAGCAUAAGUCAGGGAACCUAACAUCCUCUACAUUCUUUAUUGGAUCCGAGUUUUAAAAAGAUUUGUAAGUAUAAGAUGAUGAGAUGAUUCAAAUAAAUGAAGAAAUAAAGCCAGUUCUAAGGUGGAAAGACAAUAAUAUUAAAAUAUCUGAACUAAAAAAUGUAUAAUUAUAAAGAAUGCAUACUUGAAAUGCUAUUUGAAAUAUCAUAAGACUAUUUCAAGAAGCUAAAAAUGAUAAAUUUCUGUAAUGUAAUAGAAUUUUUUUGGUCAAAUCUUGUUUGUUUAGUAACUAGUUUACUGACUGAAAAAAUUCAAGCUAUAAAUAAUCAGAAUGUUAUAUUCAAACAAAUAACCCACUAUUUGCCUUUUUUUGGGGGGGGGUAAACCUGGUUUUAUCAGAAAGUUUGAAAAAUAUCUUUAAAACUAGUUUAUAUAUGUUCUUGGCUCUUUUGGAAUGUUCAGAUUCAAACAAAUAUUUAAUUCCCAUUUUGGGAAAGUUGUGGUUUAUUUAUGUGUUUUUACCAGAUUAAGAAGGAAUUAUUUAACAUAAAAAGAGCUUGCCUAUUUUGUAAAUGCAUUUUGAUUAUCAUCUAUACAAUACAUCUAAUUUAAAUUAAGAUAUACUCUAUAUUUCAGUCUCACACUCUGAGGGAUUUGCAUAUACUCCAGUUUCUGCCAUGAAUAAUGUAAAUGUAUUUUACAAAAUAUAUGAUCUUCCAAAUUCACUUGAUUUAAGGUUUCUAAAUAUAACUAGAAAUAGAUAAUUCUACUUGGUAAGUUUUAACUUUCCUCAGCUGCACAAUGUCAUGAUGGUAAAUGCUAUCAUUAAACAGACAAGAACUCAGGAUUCUUCGAAGCCAGUAAGUUGGUAACAUGGGAAUCCCUUAGUUAAGACCCCCUUUAUAAGACUCUUCUUAAUAAAUCUGAUCAUGUAAAAAGCUUAGUAGGGGUAGUUCUGAUCUUAAAAAUUAAAGGAAAGAAGAAAUUCUUAAUCAUAUGACUAUGAGAGAGUUUAGAGUUUGUCUUUACAUCUAGUAUUUGAAGCAAUUAGUAAAAAGUUGACACUUCAAAUUAAAACAACACAAUGAGAAGUUAGACUGUUGUCUCUUCUUAUGAAGUUAACUCUCAGCAGUUAUUACCAACUUUAGUGCUCAGAAUCUCACCUUAACUUUGUUCUGAUUUGAUUUUUUCAUAACACAUUAAGAUCACAUUGUAAGACAUUCAUUGGCCUGUAGCCAAAAAUAAUAAAAUUCUGACCUGAUCUGCCUCCCUUUUGAAAAGCAGAAAAGAUCCCAAGAGAUUGCAAUUUUAGAUCUCACACAUAAUUUCCCAUUCCCCUCCUAUAAAUCAGGCUUCUGUAGAACAGUGAGUUAUACCAUUCACAUUUCUGCAGAUACUAAAAUUCCCCAUGCAUUUCCCAGCCUGCAUUCUUCAAAAAAAGAGAUGUUAGCAGAGAUUGUUAAGAGUUGUGGUAGUAGAAAAGAAUUGGCCAGAUUCCAAUUUGUAGAACUUGUUGACAUUCUGCCAAUUCCUUUAUUAAUGCAUGUUGCUAAGCAGAGCUGAUAUUCAGGCAGUACGUUCUAGCAUAGCCAUACAGAUUUUGAAAUAUUUCCAUUCUAGUGGGUAAAUAGCCACUACUUCGUGCUUCGUAGUAUCUCCUUCCUGACCUGAGCUUACCUAUUGGCUCCUUCCUCUAUCUCCCCCUCCAGCCCAACUUACUAUUUUUCUUCUACAAAAUAAUGUUUAACAGGAUAAGAGGCCUUUAGGACCUUGCUCUAGCUAGCAUAGGGAUGGCCCCUUGUUUGAUUGGUCAACGCUCGCUCUCUAGCAGUUGUUGAAUACUUUGAAUAUAACUCUUGUUCCUAGGCCUAAGUAUAUUUCUAGGCAUGUGUAACAGAAAUAGAAAUGGGGGAAAGAUGGCCAUAAUGAGUCAAUACCGAAGCAGCUGAGAUAUCUCACAAAGUUGGAAUAUUGCCUGGAGCCUGUUUGUCAGUACCUACUCUUCUCCUCCCUACAAUUAAGGGGUUCCCUGUUCUGUUAGAGAACAUAUCUUGGUGGCUACUAUUUCCCAGACAUCAUGAAUACAAGAAUUUGAUGAGUGUUUUGCUCAAAAAGCUAAAUCAAGAAAAGCAGAGCUGACAUAAAAAGUCUAUGGUGAGAGUUCUCUUGUGGCACAGCGGGUUAAGGAUCUACUGUUGUCACCUCAGUGGCUUGGGUGGCUAUGGGCACAGCCAAAUUUUUUUUUUUUAAAAAAAGGUGUUUAAGGAGUUCCCGUCAUGACGCAGUGGUUAACGAAUCCGACUAAGAACCAUGAGGUUGUGGGUUCGAUCCCUGGCCUUGCUCAGUGGGUUAGGGAUCCGGUGUUGCCGUGAGCUGUGGUGUGGGUUGCAGAUGAGGCUCGGAUCCAGCAUUGCUGUGGCUCUGGCCUAGGCCGGUGGCUACAGCUCCCAUUAGACCCCUAGUCUGGGAACCUCCA
rnacentral:lncRNA from 1 species